UUCUUAAUGAAAUAAUUUUAAGUAACACCUGCUCAAUGAGUUUUAAAUAGCCGCGGAAAUUUAACUGUGCUAAGGUAGCAUAAUCAUUAGUUUCUUAAUUAGAGACUAGCAUGAAGGGUGAAACAUUUCAAUUACUUUAUUAAUUUAUUUUUAUCAAAUUUUAAUUAAAAAUUAAAAUGUUUUUAUUAUUUAAAAAGACGACAAGACCCUUUUGAACUUUACUUAUGUUAAGCUGGGGCAGCUUUAAAAAAAUUAUCUUCUUAUAAAUUACUUUUAUAAAUGACCCAAUUUAAUUGAAUAUUUGAUCAAGUUACCAUAGGGAUAACAGCGUAAUAUUUUAUUUAAGCUCUUAUUUAAUAAAAUGAUUGCGACCUCGAUGUUGAAUUAUUGUUUCUUUAAAAUGCAACAAUUUUAAAAGUAGGUCUGUUCGACCUUUAAAACUUUACAU
rnacentral:rRNA from 3 species